CUUGCCUACGCCGUUCGGCCAUCGCUCAUCCAUAUAUUUAUAUGUACAUAUUCUUAUUCAUUCCCUUACACUUGUGUGUAUAAGGUAGUUGUUGUGAAAUUGUUAGAGGACUUGUUAGAUAUUACUGCACGGUCGGAACUAGAAGCACAAGAAUUUCACUACACUCGCAUUAACAUCUGCUAACCAUGUGUAUUGUGACCAAUACAAUUUGAUUUGAUUUUGAGUUCACGGAAGAGUAUCCAAACAAACCACCCGCAGUCAGAUUCAUCUCCAAGAUGUUUCAUCCAAAUAGUAUGGCAUUUUGUCUUUUCCUUUUCGGAAUUUAAUUUGUUACUAUUGUGCUUUGAUCCUGUUAUCGUGGUUUCCUCUAUCCCCCAGUGUAUGCUGAUGGCAGUAUAUGUCUCGAUAUUCUUCAGAAUCGCUGGAGUCCAACCUAUGAUAUAUCAUCAAUUCUCACCUCUAUCCAGUCUUUGCUGGACAAACCAAAUCCCAACAGUCCGUCAAACAGCCAAGUGGCACAGCUGUACCAGGAAAACAAACGGAGUACGAGAAGAGAGUCUUGGCCAUCAUCGAGCAGAACUGGAGGGACAGCUGACCCCCCUCGAGACGACCUCUGACCUCCCAAAGAACGUUCUGGAACAUUGUGUGAUUUAGCGUAGCUGAGUGAUUCGUGAAUCAUUUAUUACUCUCCUUUGUUUUUGAGAAAUCAUGUGCACUUUAAUGGUUUGCUCUACCAAGGGGAGUAUCUUGCAGGUUCUUCUGUCACCCCUCGUUUACUUAAUCCGUUUACUCUUCCACUAACCUAUCAAUCAAGUUGGACUGGUCCGAAAUGUGGGUCGGGACUCAAUGACAGUGAACACAUUCACAUGCGCACAGUAUUCCGGAUAGUAACUCAUUGUAACAAGCGUCGUUAAAGGUAGACCAAAACGCAGCAGGUACGUGAAUGCUCAUCUUCCUGUUUAUUAAAGAAAUGAACACUGAACAAAAGAACGAUGAAAACAGUCCUGUAAGGUACACAGACAAUACAUGGAAACAACCACCCACAAAACACAAGCUGAAAACCCCUACUUAAAUAUGGCCUCCAAUUAGAGACAAUGAAGAACAGCUGCCUCCAAUUGAAGGCCAAACCAAAACCCUGAACAUAGAAAUAGAACUAGAAAUACAAACAUAGAAAUACAUGACAUAGAACAGUACCCAGAAAUCCCAACAACACAAAAAAAACACACCCCUGCCACGUCCUGACCAUACUACAAUAACAAAAUGACCCCUUUACUGGUCAGGACGUGACACUCAUGUCCCGCUUAAGGUCUUAUUCGGGAUAAGCUGUUUACAUGCACCUUUAAUAUCCCGCUCAAGAGUAUCCCUGUAUUCAUGAAUAAAUAGAACAUUCAUAAUUAAUGUUCAUAUGGGUUAAAUGGAAUAACAACAUAAAUCUGGACACUGACUGUAGGUCUAUAACCUCUCAAAUGUA
rnacentral:lncRNA from 1 species